rnacentral:rRNA from 1 species
GCCUAACACAUGCAAGUCGAGCGAGAAAAGGGGGGCAACUCCCUGAGUACAGCGGCGCACGGGUGAGUAACACGUGGGUAAUCUGCCCUGUGGUACGGAACAACUGACCGAAAGGUUAGCUAAUACCGUAUACGUCCGAGAGGAGAAAGAUUUAUCGCCAUAGGAUGGGCCCGCGUCGGAUUAGCUAGUUGGUGAGGUAAUGGCUCACCAAGGCGACGAUCCGUAGCUGGUCUGAGAGGAUGAUCAGCCACACUGGGACUGAGACCCGGCCCAGACUCCUACGGGAGGCAGCAGUGGGGAAUAUUGGACAAUGGGCGCAAGCCUGAUCCAGCCAUGCCGCGUGAGUGAUGAAGGUCUUCGGAUUGUAAAACUCUUUCGCCGGGGAAGAUAAUGACGGUACCCGGAGAAGAAGCUCCGGCUAACUUCGUGCCAGCCGCCGCUGUAAGAC